CGGCCGGACUGGGAAGAUGGACGCAGCUACUCUGACCUACGACACUCUCCGGUUUGCUGAGUUUGAAGAUUUUCCUGAGACCUCAGAGCCCGUUUGGAUACUGGGUAGAAAAUACAGCAUUUUCACAGAAAAGGACGAGAUCUUGUCUGAUGUGGCAUCUAGACUUUGGUUUACAUACAGGAAAAACUUUCCAGCCAUUGGUGCAUUCUGUUAAAAGCCAUUCAUCAUUGUUGUAUACCCUGG
rnacentral:lncRNA from 1 species